GACGAACGCUGGCGGCGUGCUUAACACAUGCAAGUCGAACGGAAAGGCCCUGCUUUUGUGGGGUGCUUGAGUGGCGAACGGGUGAGUAACACGUGAGUAACCUGCCCUUGACUUUGGGAUAACUUCAGGAAACUGGGGCUAAUACCGGAUAGGAGCUCCUGCUGAAUGGUGGGGGUUGGAAAGUUUCGGCGGUUGGGGAUGGACUCGCGGCUUAUCAGCUUGGUGGUGGGGUAGUGGCUUACCAAGGCAGUGACGGGUAGCCGGCCUGAGAGGGUGGACGGCCACAAUGCGACUGAGAGACGGCCCAGACUCCUACGGGGGGCAGUAGUGGGGAAUAUUGCACAAUGGGCGGAAGUCUGAUGCAGCGACGCCGCGUGCGUGAUGACGGCCUUCGGGUUGUAAACCGCUUUCGCCUGUGACGAAGCGUGAGUGACGGUAAUGGGUAAAGAAGCACCGGCUAACUACGUG
rnacentral:rRNA from 1 species